GUGGUAGUAGCUCAGUUGGUUAGAGCACCGGAUUGUGAUUCCGGGGGUCGCCGGUUCGAGUCCGGUUUAUCACCCCA
rnacentral:tRNA from 5 species